UACGUAGGGGGCAAGCGUUUGUCCGGAAUUAUUGGGCGUAAAGCGCGCGCAGGCGGUCAUUUAAGUCUGGUGUUUAAGGCCAAGGCUCAACCUUGGUUCGCACUGGAAACUGGGUGACUUGAGUGCAGAAGAGGAGAGUGGAAUUCCACGUGUAGCGGUGAAAUGCGUAGAUAUGUGGAGGAACACCAGUGGCGAAGGCGACUCUCUGGGCUGUAACUGACGCUGAGGCGCGAAAGCGUGGGGAGCAAACAGG
rnacentral:rRNA from 1 species